GGGUUCUGACCGGGACACUAGUACGGCCGCCAGAGUUGUAUCCUGGCUCAGAACGAACGCUGGUGGAGUGUCUUAUACAUGCAAGUCGAGCGAGUCGGUUAGCAAUAACUAGGCGAGCGGCGCACGGGUGAGUAACGCGUAAACAAUCUGCCCCGCAGUCGGGAACAACCAUUCCAACGGAUGGCUAAUACCGGAUAUUAUGGCAAGUCACCUGACUUGUUGAUGAAAGAUUUAUCGCUGCGGGAUGAGUUUGCGUACGAUUAGCUAGUUGGCGGGGUAACGUCCCACCAAGGCGACGAUCG
rnacentral:rRNA from 1 species